rnacentral:rRNA from 1 species
ACACAAUAAGCAUUCCACCUGGGGAGUACGGCCGCAAGGUUGAAACUCAAAGGAAUUGACGGGAGCCCGCACAAGCAGUGGAGUAUGUGGUUUAAUUCGAAGCAACGCGAAGAACCUUACCAGGGCUUGACAUCCACAGAAGGCCGAGUAAAUUUGGCUGUGCCCUUCGGGGAACUGUGAGACAGGUGGUGCAUGGUUGUCGUCAGCUCGUGUCGUGAGAUGUUGGGUUAAGUCCCGCAACGAGCGCAACCCUUACUGUUAGUUGCUACGGAAGAGCACUCUAACAGGACUGCCGUUGACAAAACGGAGGAAGGUGGGGAUGACGUCAAAUCGUCAUGCCCCUUACGCUCUGGGCUACACACGUACUACAAUGGCGUAAACAGAGGGGAGCAAGGCCGCGAGGCGGAGCAAAUCCCAAAAAUACGUCCCA